GUGGGGAAUCUUAGACAAUGGGGGAAACCCUGAUCUAGCCAUGCCGCGUGAGCGAUGAAGGCCUUAGGGUUGUAAAGCUCUUUCAGGUGGGAAGAUAAUGACUGUACCACCAGAAGAAGCCCCGGCUAACUCCGUGCCAGCAGCCGCGGUAAUACGGAGGGGGCUAGCGUUGUUCGGAAUUACUGGGCGUAAAGCGCACGUAGGCGGAUUGGAAAGUUGGGGGUGAAAUCCCGGGGCUCAACCCCGGAACUGCCUUCAAAACUCCCAGUCUUGAGUUCGAGAGAGGUGAGUGGAAUUCCGAGUGUAGAGGUGAAAUUCGUAGAUAUUCGGAGGAACACCAGUGGCGAAGGCGGCUCACUGGCUCGAUACUGACGCUGAGGUGCGAAAGCGUGGGGAGCAAACAGGAUUAGAAACCCCUGGUAGUCC
rnacentral:rRNA from 1 species